GUGCUCACUUCGGCAGCACGAUACAGAGAAGAUUAGCAUGGCCCCUGUGCAAGGAUGGCACGUGGAUUUGUGAAGUGUUCCAUAUUUUU
rnacentral:snRNA from 1 species